CCUAACUAACUGGACAUCGUCCUGUUGUAUAUAUUAUUACAUGUAACGAAGAUAAUAAUCUCAUAACCAGAUGACCUAAUCAGCAGUAGGCUAACUUCUAUCCUGCUGAUUAUAUCAUCUGAUUAUAAGAUUAUUACCCUCAUUCCAUGUAGUGAUAUGUGAACUUACAAUUACAUCCAUCUCCCCUUGCCAGGUGUACGUGUGGAAACUGUGACCGCAUGCCCCAGGAGAGAGAAAAUAUAUGUUGCCGGGAAGUACCCCAGGUCAUGAGAAGAAUGACCCAGGUUCCGGAGGAGAUAACCUGUAUGAUUGACCAUCCUGGCCUUGAACCGGUGUGCCUCAACAUAUAUUCUUUACAAAAUGCAAUGAACAUCUACAGAGCUGACCAUGGGCAGUUGAGAAUAAGAGGGAUGGAAAGGCAAUGCAGACACUUGGCCUACAGAUCUUUCGUGAGCUGGUGCUGGGGUUUCCUUGGGCGAAGUGUCCGUGUUGUGAUCCCCUCUUGUGUGGUGCUGCG